rnacentral:rRNA from 1 species
UUGUUGGUAAGGUAAAGGCUUACCAAGGCUUCGAUCAGUAGCUGGCCUGAGAGGACGGCCAGCCACACUGGGACUGAGACACGGCCCAGACUCCUACGGGAGGCAGCAGUGGGGAAUUUUGGACAAUGGGGGAAACCCUGAUCCAGCCAUGCCGCGUGAGUGAAGAAGGCCUUCGGGUUGUAAAGCUCUUUCAGCCGGAACGAAACGGUUACGGAUAAUACCCGUGACUACUGACGGUACCGGAAGAAGAAGCACCGGCUAACUACGUGCCAGCAGCCGCGGUAAUACGUAGGGUGCGAGCGUUAAUCGGAAUUACUGGGCGUAAAGCGUGCGCAGGUGGUUUUGUAAGUCAGAUGUGAAAGCCCCGGGCUCAACCUGGGAACUGCGUUUGAAACUACAAGACUAGAGUGUGGCAGAGGGGGGUGGAAUUCCGCGUGUAGCAGUGAAAUGCGUAGAGAUGUGGAGGAACACCGAUGGCGAAGGCAGCCCCCUGGGUUAACACUGACACUCAGGCACGAAAGCAUGGGGAGCAAACAGGAUUAGAUACCCUGGUAGUCCAUGCCCUAAACGAUGUCAACUAGUUGUCGGGCCUUUACGGGCUUGGUAACGUAGCUAACGCGUGAAGUUGACCGCCUGGGGAGUACGAUCGCAAGAUUAAAACUCAAAUGAAUUGACGGGGACCCGCACAAGCGGUGGAUUAUGUGGAUUAAUUCGAUGCAACGCGAAAAACCUUACCUACCCUUGACAUGUAUCGAAGCCCGCAGAAAAGCGGGGGUGCCCGAAAGGGAACGAUAACACAGGUGCUGCAUGGCUGUCGUCAGCUCGUGUCGUGAGAUGUUGGGUUAAGUCCCGCAACGAGCGCAACCCUUGUCAUUAAUUGCCAUCAUUUAGUUGGGCACUUUAAUGAGACUGCCGG